rnacentral:other from 1 species
ACAAUCCUGGGUUAUUCGUUAAGGACACAUAAUUGAACCUACACUUGAGCUUCGGGAGUUCGGGUUUCCGUUACGUUAUGUCAGGCCCCCCUGAGGGGAAGACAGAGGUAUGGAACAGGACACCCACCUAUCGGAAGAUAGGGCGUCAAUUAUAUCCUUGACGGUAAUUUGGGAUUUUU